UACGUAGGGGGCAAGCGUUGUCCGGAAUCAUUGGGCGUAAAGAGCGUGUAGGCGGCCCGGUAAGUCCGUUGUGAAAGUCCAGGGCUCAACCCUGGAAUGCCGGUGGAAACUGUCAGGCUCGAGUCCGGAAGAGGCGAGUGGAAUUCCUGGUGUAGCGGUGAAAUGCGCAGAUAUCAGGAGGAACACCAAUGGCGAAGGCAGCUCGCUGGGACGGUACUGACGCUGAGACGCGAAAGCGUGGGGAGCAAACAGG
rnacentral:rRNA from 1 species